UCCAGGAUGGCCGAGUGGUUAAGGCGUUGGACUUAAGUUCAAAUGUACGGAUGUAUGGGUGGGUUCGAACCCCACUCCUGGUA
rnacentral:tRNA from 1 species